rnacentral:snRNA from 1 species
GUCCGGUGCGCCCCCGGCGGCC